rnacentral:rRNA from 1 species
UACAGAGGUCUCAAGCGUUGUUCGGAUUCAUUGGGCGUAAAGGGUGCGUAGGCGGCGCGGUAAGUCGGGUGUGAAAUCUUGGAGCUUAACUCCGAAACUGCAUUCGAUACUGCCGUGCUUGAGGACUGGAGAGGAGACUGGAAUUUACGGUGUAGCGGUGAAAUGCGUAGAUAUCGUAAGGAAGACCAGUGGCGAAGGCGGCUCACUGGCCCGGUACUGACGCUGAGGUGCGAAAGCGUGGGGAGCAAACAGG